UUUCCUUUAUACAUAGGUAAAUGUACCAUUAAAAGUCUUAAUAAGGUGGAUGAGGUGUGUUUCCUUCUACUGUUUUGUUUCUUUGUGUGCAUGGUAUGGUGCAGGACAAAAAGGCCAUCUCACCUGCCCUGAUCACUGCUGUACUCUUCCUCUGCAUUCUUGGUGGCAUUUCCUAUGUAAGACAGGUAGGGAGGGAGCAAUUACAUCUAGUAUUAAGAUCAUUUAGCGAUUCAAAUAUUUUUGUUGCUGAACUUUAAAUAUGUAAAUUGAAGUGCUUUCUGCUACAUCUGCUUCUGGACAAUUUAAAACCAAAGUAAAAACAACAAAGUGCAAUCCCAGAGCAAAUAAUCAAUUUAGGUUGUUUUCUAUUUUUUUUUUUCUUUAAGGGUUUUUUAUUAAGUACAUUUUAAUGUUCAUGAU